GGGGCGUUGGGCAAGUUAGGUUAAGCCGUCAGUCUUUCAAGCUGAAAAUCGAGGGUUCAAAUCCCUCACGCCCUA
rnacentral:tRNA from 1 species